rnacentral:rRNA from 1 species
GAUGAACGCUGGCGGCGUGCCUAACACAUGCAAGUCGAGCGAUUCUCUUCGGAGAAGAGCGGCGGACGGGUGAGUAACGCGUGGGUAACCUGCCCUGUACACACGGAUAGCAUACCGAAAGGUAUGCUAAUACGAGAUGAUAUGCUUUUAUCGCAUGGUAGAAGUAUCAAAGCUUUUGCGGUACAGGAUGGACCCGCGUCUGAUUAGCUAGUUGGUAAGGUAACGGCUUACCAAGGCGACGAUCAGUAGCCGACCUGAGAGGGUGAUCGGCCACAUUGGAACUGAGACACGGUCCAAACUCCUACGGGAGGCAGCAGUGGGGAAUAUUGCACAAUGGGCGAAAGCCUGAUGCAGCAACGCCGCGUGAGCGAUGAAGGCCUUCGGGUCGUAAAGCUCUGUCCUCAAGGAAGAUAAUGACGGUACUUGAGGAGGAAGCCCCGGCUAACUACGUGCCAGCCGCCGCGGUAA